UUAAGCAUAUAACUAAGCGGAGGAAAAGAAACUAACAAGGAUUUCCCUAGUAGCGGCGAGCGAAGCGGAAACAGCCCGGGAUGAAAAUCUCUUCGGAGAAUUGUAGUCUGAGUGUCCUUGGGUGGUCAGUGCGGGCAAGUCGCCUGGAAUGGCGCGCCAUGGAGGGUGAGAGCCCCGUCCAUCCCGCACAGGAUCCAUCCGCACAAGGACGCUUCAACCGAGUCGGGUAGCUUGGGAAUGCUGCUCUAAUUGGUGGUAAAUCUCAUCAAAGGCUAAAUAGUGGUGGGAGACCGAUAGCGAACAAGUACCGUGAGGGAAAGAUGGAAAGAACUUUGAAAAGAGAGUGAAAAGCACUUGAAACCGUCACGGGGGAAGCGGAUUGCGUGAGUGAUGGCGUCGCUUGUUCAGCGCAUUUUUUUGCGUGCAUUCUGGCGGCGCCGUGCCGGCGUGGCUGGCAUGGCGGGAUUCUUGUGAUUCCGCUUGCUGGUGAGGGCUCCCUUCACAGGUGAGGACGCGGGCAAAAUGACGCAAUACGACCCGUCUUGAAACACGGACCAAGGAGUCUAGCACGGCUGCGAGUCGAAGGGUGAUGAAACCCAAGGGCGCAGUGAAAGCGAAAUGAUAAGCAAAUUGGGGAGGCGUUGCGUUUUUAACAAAAUGUCCUACCUUGAGCAAUUGUGCUGGGACCCGAAAGAUGGUGAACUAUGCCGGAGUAGGGCAAAGCCAGAGGAAACUCUGGUGGAGGCUCGUAGCGAUGCUGACGUGA
rnacentral:rRNA from 1 species